UUGAAGCAGCUUGCCUAUUGGGAUCAGAGUGGUAGAAGCCUUUCUAAGCAGAAGGCAUGUGCAAAGGUUCUGCGAUGGGAAAUCAUUGUGAAUUCUUGAAACUGUGAAUCCCAGAAAAACCACACCUUUCAUGGAUCCAAAUCAGCUUUGAACCACUCCUAGAAUCCUGGACAUAUCUGGAAAGUUUAUUUUCGUUUUCAUCUUCAGACUCUGCUUUGCUUAACAGGUUACCU